GAUCAUGGCUCAGGAUGAACGCUGGCGGCGUGCCUAAUACAUGCAAGUAGAACGCUGAAGGAAGGAGCUUGCUCUUUCCGGAUGAGUUGCGAACGGGUGAGUAACGCGUAGGUAACCUGCCUGGUAGCGGGGGAUAACUAUUGGAAACGAUAGCUAAUACCGCAUAACAAUAGAUGUUGCAUGACAACUAUUUGAAAGGGGCAAUUGCUCCACUACCAGAUGGACCUGCGUUG
rnacentral:rRNA from 1 species